UCAGUGAAGGUUGAUUUAGAUAAACAGCUUUUUUUAUUUCUGCACUUCAAUCACAUAAGUCCCUGUAAAGCCUACAGUCUAUUUAUUUAUUUAAUGUUUAUUCAACAGGGGCAAUACAUACAACAUUGCCACAAAAAAUGGAAAAUGUUAUGUAUUUAAGACAUUUGGUACAGGUAAUUUGCAGUCUUUAGAGGAGGUCAGGCUGUAGAGGAGGACAAAAUACACUGAAUACUAUAAAUGCAAUAAUACAAAUACCAUGGAUAGUACAGUGAAUAGCAAGGUGACAUGAAUAAAUAAACAGCUACAAAAUUUAGAUUAAACAAUUACACAAAUUUAAUUUAGCAUUAAACAUUAAGAAAGUACUAUAUUGACAGUGACUUGAGAAUAGUUAAUGUUCACAUUUCUGCUGCUUAAGCCCAUGUUUAGCUUUAACAUUAAACCUCUUUAGUUCUGUUUGGGAUUUAAUUUCUGAUGGGAGAGAAUUUCAUAGUCGUGUACCGUGUACUGAGAGGGAUGAUUGGCCAAAUGUUGUCCUGCAUCUUCGAAUCUUACAGUUUUGCUCGGUUAUGCUCCUUGUUGUUGUCUUUCAAUUGUCUGUCUUAAAAAUCUGAGACAUCGCUCGUGGGACCAGUCCAUUUAUACACUUCAAAACAACUUUAAAAAAAGAGAAUUUUAUAGAAUUGAAACUAUGAGGCUCCAAUUGAUUUAUAACUCUAAAUAUAGAUAUAUAUGUUGUUAUAUACUUAACAGGGGCAGCAAUGUGUAUUAAACAGGCAGUAAAUGACAUUUACAUUUGGGACACACAAAUGUCCCAAAUGUACAAAUGAUUUCUGCAGCAAAGGAAAAAUUAAAUGGACAUUAUUUCUCCCCUCAUACUUAUCAGGGCCUGGCUUUUACAAUGUAUAUUUAUGACAUAUACAACCAUCUGACAGAAAAAUCAAGAAUGACAUUCAUCUAAAAAAAAAAAGGACUAUUCAGACUGAAGAAAGUGGAUAUUAAAAAUAUGACUUAUAGAAUUGUGUAGCAGAGAUGGUAGUGCAAACAUCAACUCCUUGAAUGUCAGUUCAUAUCAGGACACUUUGAAAGAAAAAACAGGAAAGACACUCACUCAUAACAAAUUUGAACGUCAUUUAUUACAAGCAGAGAUGAAGUACUGUAAAAGGAAAAAUGAAACCAGGACCUUAGAAGAUUUUUGAUCAUCUAUUAAACCUUCUUAUUAUCUAUCCUUUUUCCUCCUUUCUCAUGAUGUUUGAAAGUUUUGUUGUGAAAGUUUUCUACGUGUCUGAAUUUCUGUCUUCUGUUCAAGUAAAAUAAACUCAGGAGAACUGUUCAGGAACUUUAUGAAUGUUGCUGUUUUUGUCAAUAAAGUCAAGCUUUGUUUGUGACAGCUCAAAACAAUUUCUUCAUGAGUAUGUUUAUGUAAAAAACAACAUGGUUCACAUAACUUCUGGCAAGUUUAAUGCCAGCAAUGUGUACUAAAUGACAUUUAAAAAUGACAUUAAAUGCAGUAAAUGACAUUUAAAAAAAUAAAAUUCAAUACACAAUGGAAAAUAGAACCAUGACACUUUUGUUCCCGCUGAGGGUGAUUAAAGUCAGACUCUGUCACAAUGUCUCUCUUUGUUUAUUCUCGCGUUUUUUUCUUCUUCUUGUGAUGAGUCAGGUCACUAAAAACUCAUUUUGACGGUUUUCUUGCUCUGACGUGAGACAGUGAAUUCAGUUGGACAAGGAUAAGGGGUGAGAAAGAAGGAGGGCAGGAGGGAGGACAAGUAACACGUGCAGGAGUAACAUGACAAUCUAGAGAACACUCUAGUGGAAAUUCGUCUUUAUUUCUCGUCUCUGCGCACACCUUCAUCAAAUCCCACCUCCUUUAGUCUCUCUGGAUAAAGAAGAUUUCAUGCUAUUAGAGAGGUGUCCCUCAUUUUGUCCUUUCAUGAGGUGAAUAACUUUAUCUGUGAGCGCGUAUGGAAAAUAAGUCAAAAAAGUGCAGCAUUUCUGCUGCAGAUAAACUCAAACCACCCUGAUAGUCCCACCUCCAUCUUUAUCUGAGCCUACAGGAGGACAUCUCACACCCCAGACUGACUCCCACACCCUAACCCGGGAGAGGGUUACCAUGGUGACAGCAAGUCCCACCUUAACAUUACCUCCUGAAAGAACAUGUCAAAGUUAGUGUGCAACAUCUGUUAAGAAGCUGUGGUAAAUACAUGAAAUUAAUGGCUCUUUGCUGCAGAUAUUGUGUAUUUGUGCAAUUUUUUAAAAACUUUUUUUAAGGAUUAUUAUUCAAUCCCUAAAAAGUUUUCCGCAGCAGGCAAGAGGGCACAAUCCCCCUCAUGAGGACAAUUUGUCUUAGCAAAGUCAGGCUGAGACAAACUGUCAGGUAUUAAAGACAAACUACAGCAAACUACCACCUGCUCUAUCACAGCCCCGGCUUAAUUUGAAGCCGUGAAUCUGACGUGCCGUGUCUGUGUGACACAUCCAAUAAAAAGCACGUCCCAGCUCUGCGUAUCCUGGAAUCUGGCUGAGCAAGAGCUAUGAGAAAGAGUUUAAUAAGUCAGAUAACAUGACAUCAGCUGACAUAUCGCUAUAUUAAAUUCAAACCGUGUGAAACCAUCGCACAUAAAUCAUUGAGCUGUGAGAAGCAGAGACGAAGCACGUUAGAUGUAUAACUGCACUCUGAGAUUAGGAUGCAGGUUUCAGACUGAUGAGGAUCAGUGUGGGGUUACUCAUGUGGUUCUUUUAUUCAGACGUGUUCAUGUACCAGAGUUCAAAAGUCACACCUGGAGCCUGUAAAAGAGGUUCAGACAUGAAGAACAUUUCAAAAGUAUGAGAAACACAGAGUACCUUUGAAGAAACAUUGUACUGAUGAUGAUAAGUGUCUUACAGUGUACUAUUGUUUUUGUGUGUUAUACUCACAUGGAAACUUUCUUGAGUUAUUUUUUAGGCCACUUUGACUUUUUGGAUUAGACAGCUACCAUAUCAAGAGGAAAUGUGGGAUGAGGAGAGUCUAGAUGACAUUGAACAAAGAGUCAGGGGUCAAAUCAGAGGCAACAGGGGCGAGGGUUACAGCCUCUGUACAUGGGGCACCCUAAAUACUGGGUCAAGCCAGCGCCUACAAUAUCAUAUUAACUUUAAUGUUUAUGAUUCCAAUUUUUUUUAUUUACAGCUGUUGUGCAAAUUAGUGGGGUUUUAGCAGACAUUUAUGUCAUUGUUAAUCAUAUUAUAAUACUAAUAAUAAAAAACUGCAUAUAUUCAACAAAGGUCCCAAGGUUGCUUUACACCAAGGAGUAAUUAAAUAGUAAUAUCAUUAAAAUAGUAACAAAAAAGAAAUACUAAUAAUGAUUGAAUUUCCUUUAUUUGCAUUUCAAAACAUUUAAGUCUAUAUCAAGUAUGUAAAGCAAUGAUUACCAGAGUCUUGAUUUGGGAAACAAAUCAAUGCAAUGAAGCUCCUGUCAUCCACAGGUCAGUGUUUCUGAUGUGGUUUUCCACUGACAUCAGCCUUCUUAGCUGCACCUGUAUGCUUUGCUCACAGGCGGUAGCUCAAACCAAAGUACUUCAGUGAUAUUUCACACCGUUUGAUACGGUCUGCGUAUUACUUUUGACUUGGAAACUGAGCUUUUCUUUUAUUUUCUAAUAAAUGUGGCAAUAAAAAGUGCUGGGGUGUUAUUUUUGGUCGUGGCAGCAGAAAGAUGCUGCAGCAGCCUAACUAUGGUGUGCCACAAGGGAAAAAAACAGCCUGUAAUUAAAGAAAAAUGAUCUGUUAAUUUAGAUCCUGAUUGCACUGAAAUGCCGACAGCUCUAAUUCAUGUGCAUUUUAGUGAUACUGUGCAAAUUUUUAUCUAUCUUGACAUUUCUAAACCCUUCCUAAUAUUUUACAAUUAUUGUCAUUAGGCUUUUAUGCCUUUUAACUAGGAGAUAAGACAGUAGAUGGAGUAGAAACUAAGGAAGAGAGUGAAGGCCA